UUGAGUGCUUACUGAGUGCCACCUCCUC
rnacentral:piRNA from 1 species